rnacentral:tRNA from 1 species
GCCCGGGUGGCGGAAUGGCAGACGCAGAGGGCUUAAACCCCUCGGUCCCUCACGGGACGUGUGGGUUCGAGUCCCACCCCGGGCACCA